GCGCGCUCGAGCCCAGGGAAGGUGUUGCCUUUGGGGAGGAGCAGGCGGUUUGCCACGGCGACCAGGAGGACUGAGCGUGUGGAAAGAAAAAGAAAAGACACAUCAUGAAAAUGCUUUCUAGGCAAGAGGGCACCAUCAGUGUUUUUGACCAGGAGCACGUACAGAGCUAAGUGGUAGAGCAAAGCCACUUCCUCCUCAGGCACACACCCCAAGAUGUCCACGUCCAGACACUCUGAGCCUGGGAAUACAUUGCCUGACCUGACAAAUGGACUCUGCAGGGGAGGGGUAAUUCUUAGCAGAAAAAAAACAGCAAGUAAUAACUCAUGAAUUUAGAACAACAAAAUCGAGUGUCCUAGAAAAUAAAUACUGUGGAAAGUGCUUUGCUGUGUUCGAUUCAAAUCCCAUAUACACAAGCCCGAAGUGAUGAUUUCUUUCUCUAAAAACCUAGAGGGAGCAAUUAAGUACGGCACAAUAGUCAGAACAUGGACACAGACGUAGGACAGCCUUCUUCUGGAACACUACUGCUCAACACAACAGAAGGAAGAGAACAUGAGGACCCCAAUAAUUCUUAAGCUUUUGCUCAGAAGGCGCCUGUGUCACUUCUCAGAUUUAAAUGGCCAAAGCAAACCAUGUGACCAAACAAGAUGUUAAUGCAGCAGGAAGGGGAGGGGCAACAAAUAUUCUCAAAUAAUCUUAAAAUCUACACUAAUUGAAUAGUUAGUGACCACUUCCUAGGGAUACAUGCCUUCAUACCUCUCGAGUACAAGUUUCAGCAAUAAGCCAUGUGUUGGUUCUCUAUUAUAAUAGGAUGAUUGUAGCGGAUUUGAACAUUUUAACAUCCUGAGCAAGGCGAAAUCCUGAAGCCCAGUUGAUCAGCAUGAAUCCUUUGAAUUCAUACGGUCUCUUUAGAAUUGCUACUUUGUGAAUUUAGUUUACCAAUGUAAUGAAAUUCCAGUACAAUUAAAUAACCUGGAUAUGAAUUUAAAGUUCACUGUAACAUCACAAAGCUUAGAAUUAGUGUCUUGAAUAUAAUUUCCUGCCAAUAUAAUGGGGUUGGAUUUUUUGAAGUUUUUGAAAUAUACAAAUUUGUAAGUGAGCUAUGAAAUAUUAUUAAAGUCUCACUCUAUGUAAAAAUUAGAAACAAUGAAAGCCUUCCACGAUCCAACAAUGUGAAGAAUUUCAUUUUAAAGUGGGUGAGCCAGGGGAACUAGAAACUGUUUAGGCUAUGCCACAUAAAGGUGCCAACUGAGCUAGUAUUCAGACAUCCACAGACUUUAAUAUUGUAGAAACCAAUUCUGCAAAUUAUUUUACGAUUGUGCUGUUGUUUUAACAGUCGAUACUUACAAAUUAAGAUUUUUUUUCAAUUCUAUUAAUGAUGCCAUUUUUAUGUUCACCGAUGCUGAAAAACAUGGCCAGACAUCGAUAAUGUUUGAACCACUGCCAAAAUAUACCAUGCUGUUAAUUUAGGUACUGUGGGUAAAACUGCAAUACUUCCAGAAUCUCUCUCCUGGCUUUAGUGCAUCUCCGUAUCAGUCGGUGUUUUUCUAAGGGGUGGAGAGAAGUAGCUCAUCUCCAUAUCAACAGGUGAUUACAUGGGGAAGUGAAGACAUAUCUGGACCAGAGAGGAGGGGGGGGAUCCUUUUGCAGCCAGGUCGCGAGAGGCACAGGUCAGAAGUAGAUGACUGCUUGUAAGCAAUAAACGGGUUUCUCCCACUUUAUUUCUCCCUUUGACUGAUUUCAGCUUCGAGGGUUAUUUGCCCCAGGGUGGGAACAUAUUCCUCCCACCCCCCAGCGUAACAGGUAUAAACUCAGAGAUGUUGGAAUAAUACUGAGAAAAUAAACACAGCAUCAGAGCAACAAACAGUAAGAUAUGAUGACUGAAGAUUUAUGAACCAUGAAGACAACCUGUUUGAAUUUUUCCCCCCAGGAGAAAACAUCCUGCAUGACAGGCUUUAUGAAUUAUGUGAGCCCUCCAGGUACCACCGCUUGCAAUAAUCUGAACUUUAAACCUUUUUGCCACAAAGAGUGACACCAGGUGGGCUUAUUCCCAGUAACUGUUCUUCAUUCAGGUGUUCCGCCCAUAUAUAACUUUUUAUCCAAAAGAAAAAUGAGAAAAUAUUGACAUGUUUAAACCAUGGUAAGUACCUAACUGCUCUCUGUCUUCUAUUUAAAGAUAUGGCUGUCAAAUCCAUCACUCACAAAGAUAUUUGCGAGCACUUCUCCAGUAAAUCUGUGAUGGAAACUGCCUGUAGAAAAGCCCUACUGGUAUUAAUUUUGUGAUCCUAUUGAGUCUCAUGUUAACCAAAUAAAAAUGUAUUAUGCUCACUCUUAUUAUGUGGCAGGUGUGGACAGCCUGGAAGAGCUACAUGUUUACUUAUGGAGGCCACAGCUGUCUUUCUAAAUUACCCAGUGAGAACAAAUACUGACUUUAAAAAAAAAUGUAAUCCAAAUGAAUAGGAUGUAAAAUGUCAUUGACUCAAACCCAUUUAACAAACAUGCCUACUAUGUGUACAGCCAUGUGCCAAUUUAAGCCUAAAACUCUCAUCAAACAAGUUAUCUGACCUGCUAUCAAAUAAGCUACUGUACUUUGGACUCUCCUAGAAACACAGUUGUGUUUUGCUCAGUGGUCAGCAUAAUUUGCCAGACCUUCUUACUCAUGCUUCAGAAAAUUCUCCUAACCAUUGUUAUUUAACCAAAAUUACCUCUAAGAGGAAAAUUCACUGGAAUUCAUGUAACACUGUUCAUUGCUUUAUAUUUUAAUGCUUUGCUGAUAGGGAGUUAAUUUCACUCUCAGCUCUCUACCCCAGCCUAAAACUGUUUCUUUGCUAGCUCCUCUCUCUCUUCUAGGAAGAUAGUUUACAUAUAAUGCUGCAAACCAUGAGGCCCAAAUAAAUUUAGCUGGGAUUUGUACAAGAAUGGCUUUGGCAUUUUCCAAACAAAGCAGAGCGUUCAUUUCCUCUUCCUAACAGACCUUCUUCCCUUCAAUGUCCAAGGACUUACAGAAAUGCGUACACUGACUCUGUGUGUACUCUUAUGCUUAGUGCAAGAAUUAGGAUAUUGAGGAUUCACCAUAUCUCCUUGUGGGCUUUUCACAGUGCCCCUCCCAGGGAUCCAUCCCUGAGGCCCUCAGGCCCCCAAGGGGUCCACAGUCAGAACUAGAGCCUGGUGGGGAGGGGAUGGGGGGGAUAGGAGAAAUAGGUGAAGAGGAUAAAGAGGUACAAAAUUCCAAUUAUAAAACAGUCACAGGGAUGAAAGUACAGCAUAGAGAAUGUAGUCAAUAAUACUGUAAUAUCUUUAUAUGGUAACAGAUUUAACUGCACUUACUGCCGUGAGCAUUUAUAAUGCAUAUAAUUGCUGAAUCACUAUGUUGUACAGCUGAUAUCAAUAUAAUGUUGUAUAUCAACUAUACUACAAUUAAAAAAACAAAUAAAGAUCUGUGGGGUGGGAAGAUAUGGUAGGUGAACUUGCUUGGGGAAAAAAAUUUAGAGCUUUAUUCCACUAACCUUGAAAUGAAUCUAGUUCUAUGAAUGAUGAAUAUAGGCAAUGAAAUGCCAUAGUAUCAGCAGUACUUGGAUUUUGUCACCAAAAGAAAUCAUGGAUAUUUUCAUCUCACACUUAAGUUGUUGAAGAUGUGAAGUAUCAUUUCGGCUCAUUACUGCUUCGAAAUUACAGCAGUUACUGGGCCUGCCACAGGAUUUUUUUAAUGUAUUAAUAAAGUUGAGAUAUCCUUUCAAUGCAAAUUCUUUUUAAUGUUCGA